UACGUAGGGUGCAAGCGUUAAUCGGAAUUACUGGGCGUAAAGCGUGCGCAGGCGGUGAUGUAAGACAGGUGUGAAAUCCCCGGGCUUAACCUGGGAACUGCAUUUGUGACUGCAUCGCUGGAGUGCGGCAGAGGGGGAUGGAAUUCCGCGUGUAGCAGUGAAAUGCGUAGAUAUCGAGAGGAACACCUGCGGCGAAGGCGGGUUGCUGGGCUGACACUGACGCUGAUGCGCGAAAGCCAGGGGAGCGAACGGG
rnacentral:rRNA from 1 species